GACGAACGCUGGCGGCGUGCCUAAUACAUGCAAGUCGAGCGAAUCUUUAGAAGCUUGCUUCUGAAGAUUAGCGGCGGACGGGUGAGUAACACGUGGGCAACCUGCCUGUAAGACUGGGAUAACUUCGGGAAACCGGAGCUAAUACCGGAUAAUCCAUUCCCUCACAUGAGGGAAUGCUGAAAGACGGCAUCACGCUGUCACUUACAGAUGGGCCCGCGGCGCAUUAGCUAGUUGGUGAGGUAACGGCUCACCAAGGCGACGAUGCGUAGCCGACCUGAGAGGGUGAUCGGCCACACUGGGACUGAGACACGGCCCAGACUCCUACGGGAGGCAGCAGUAGGGAAUCUUCCGCAAUGGACGAAAGUCUGACGGAGCAACGCCGCGUGAGCGAAGAAGGCCUUCGGGUCGUAAAGCUCUGUUGUUAGGGAAGAACAAGUACCGGAGUAACUGCCGGCACCUUGACGGUACCUAACCAGAAAGCCACGGCUAACUACGUGCCAGCAGCCGCAGUAACAC
rnacentral:rRNA from 1 species